GGGCUGGGAAAGACCGGUGCCAGCCGCCGCGGUGUCGUAAGGGGAUCAGCGUUAUCCGGAAUCAUUGGGUUUAAGGGUCCGUAGGCGGUUUAAUAAGUCAGAUGUGAAAUCUCGAGGCUCAACUGUGAAACUGCCUUUGAUACUGUUACACUUGAAUUCUUGUGGAGUAGGCAGAAUGUGUAGUGUAGCGGUGAAAUGCAUAGAUAUUACACAGAACACCGAUUGCGAAGGCACCUUACUAAGCUUUUACUGACGCUCAUGGACGAAAGCGUGGGGAGCAAACAGGAUUAUAUACCCUGGUAGUCCUCGCCGUAAACUAUGGACACUAGGUGUUGGGAAUACACACUCAUUGUCUAACCAAACCUAAUAAUUAACCCUCC
rnacentral:rRNA from 1 species